rnacentral:rRNA from 1 species
AACGCGAAGAACCUUACCUACUCUUGACAUCCAGAGAACUUAGCAGAGAUGCUUUGGUGCCUUCGGGAACUCUGAGACAGGUGCUGCAUGGCUGUCGUCAGCUCGUGUUGUGAAAUGUUGGGUUAAGUCCCGCAACGAGCGCAACCCUUAUCCUUUGUUGCCAGCGGUCCGGCCGGGAACUCAAAGGAGACUGCCAGUGAUAAACUGGAGGAAGGUGGGGAUGACGUCAAGUCAUCAUGGCCCUUACGAGUAGGGCUACACACGUGCUACAAUGGCGCAUACAAAGAGAAGCGACCUCGCGAGAGCAAGCGGACCUCAUAAAGUGCGUCGUAGUCCGGAUUGGAGUCUGCAACUCGACUCCAUGAAGUCGGAAUCGCUAGUAAUCGUAGAUCAGAAUGCUACGGUGAAUACGUUCCCGGGCCUUGUACACACCG